GCGGAUGUGAUGGAAAGGCAGACAUGCAAGAUUGAGGGUCUUGUGAGCAUAGCUCGUGCGGGUUCAAGUCCCGCCGUCCGCA
rnacentral:tRNA from 1 species